rnacentral:lncRNA from 1 species
UUUUUUUGUUUUUGUUUUUGUUUUUUGUUUUUUUUUAAGACAGGGUUUCUCUGUGUGGCCCUGACUGUCCCAGAACUCACUCUGUAGACCAGGAUGGCCUCAAAUUCAGAGAGCCAACUGCCUCUGCUUCCCGAGUGCUAGGAUUAAAGACGUGUGCCACCACACUGGUUAAGAGCCUGAAUUUGACUCCUUAGCUCCCAGCUAAAAGUUGGAUGUAACUCUAGCAUUGAGGGGAUUCAUAUAGAAGUGUGCUAGCAAGCCAGACCAGCUGAAAAAAAAAAAUGAGCUCUAAGUGAGAGAGACUACUAGGUGGGGUUCUUUAGAGUCACAGAACUUAUGAAAUGUCUCUAUAUAUUAAGUGAAUUUAUUGAAAUGGCUUAAAGUCUGCAUCCCACCUAAUCUAACAGUGGGCAGCGGUGAAUGGGAAGUCCAAGAACCUAGUAGUUGCUCAGUCCCACGAGGGUAGGUGUUCCAGCUGCUCUUCUGUAUAAGCUGCCAUCCUGAAGAAGCAGGUUCCAACAGAUGUGCUGGCAAGUAAGUGCAAGCAGGCAGAGAAGAGGAAGGCCUUCCUUCUUCCAAUGUUCUUAUGUAGGCCUCCAGCAGAAGGUAUGGCCCAGAUUAAAGGUGUGUGCCACCACGCCUGCAUCUGGAACUUGCUUUUUCCCAGGAUGGCCUUGAACUGAAGAGAUCUGCUUGCCUCUGUCUCCUAGGAUUAAAAGUUUGUACUACCUUGCCUGGGCCUAAGCUUUUCAUGGCCACUGUGGCUCAAGAUCUGGAUCAAAAGUGUGCCCUCCAUUUCUGGGUUGUAGUUCAUUCCAGAUGUAGUCAAGUUGACAACCAGGAAGAGCCAACAUAGAGACCGUGUCUCAAAAAAUAAGGUAGGAGAGAGUGCUGGAGAGAUGAGAUGGCUCAGUGGUUAAGAACACUGGAUUCUCUUCAGCUUCAAUUCCCAGCACCCACAUGGCAGCUCACAACCACCACUAUCUGUAAUUCCAGCCCUAGGAGAUCCAACACUUUCUUCUGGCCUCCAAGGGCACAAAGCCCGCAUGUAGUACACAGACAAAACACCCCUAUACAUAAAUAAAAUAAUUUUUAAGAUUAAAGUGGUCAGGUGUGGUGGUCUUUAGUCCCGCACUCAGGAAACACAGGCACUGAGUUCAAAGUCAACCUGGUCUACAGAGUGAGUUCCAGGACAGCCAGGGCUACAGAAAGAAACCCUGUCUUGAAAAAAAGUGAAUAAAUUAACUAAUGUGGAGUGAUAGAAACCUAAAGUUGACCUCUAGAGUCCACACACACUGCCCAGAAAGGCAGGUUGAUGGUGGAUCACUUGCCUAGCACGUGCAAGGUCCUGAGAUCUAGCUCCAGUGUUGGAAGUGGAAGAGAAAAGGACAAAGGCAUGGCCAGGGAGUGGAGGAGAAGAGCAAGCUGCAGCAUAACACAGCAUCAAUCCUUUAAAACAAUAACAUGCAUACACACCAAUCUAACAUAGGCAGCUAUAACGAAAAUUACAUGCAAAGACUGUUAAGGCCUGACACCUCACACCAUUUAGUUCCAUGCCCACCAUCGUUGCUGUGAUAGGUCUGCCAGUCAUGGACACUGAAACAUAACUUGACUCAGAGCAGGGUCAUGCUGAGCACAUACCCUGUUUUGUUCUCUAUGUUCUGAGGUUUGCUAAUCUUAAGAAAUUCCACAAAGCUUUAUGUAGGACCCCUCAAAUUAAAGGUCAACAUGAACUGUUAUGUCUAAGAUGACUUGAAUCAGAGCCAACACCUGGGCAACUUGUCCUGCACCUGCGUAUGAUCUCACUGUGGCUUUUAUGGUUUUGUUUUUCCUUUAUACGCCAGCCAUGAGAAAUGUUUGCUAACAUAGCCUCAUCUAUGACCCUGACCAAUCAGUAUGAGGGUGUUCAUUCAAUAAAUUAUUCCUGUCUG